rnacentral:rRNA from 1 species
AUUGAACGCUGGCGGCAUGCCUUACACAUGCAUGUCGAACGGCAGCACGGGAGCAAUCCUGGUGGCGAGUGGCGAACGGGUGAGUAAAGUAUCGGAACGUGCCCAGUCGUGGGGGAUAACGUAGCGAAAGUUACGCUAAUACCGCAUACGAUCUAUGGAUGAAAGCGGGGGAUCGCAAGACCUCGCGCGAUUGGAGCGGCCGACAUCAGAUAGGUAGUUGGUGGGGUAAAGGCUCACCAAGCCGACGAUCUGUAGCUGGUCUGAGAGGACGACCAGCCACACUGGGACUGAGACACGGCCCAGACUCCUACGGGAGGCAGCAGUGGGGAAUUUUGGACAAUGGGCGAAAGCCUGAUCCAGCCAUGCCGCGUGCAGGAUGAAGACCUCCGGGUUGUAAACUGCUUUUGUACGGAACGAAAAGGUUUGGCCUAAUAAGCUGAGCUCAUGACGGUACCGUAAGAAUAAGCACCGGCUAACUACGUGCCAGCCGCCGCCGUAA